AUUCCAGCUCCAAUAGCGAAUACUAAUUCUGCUGCAGUUAAAACGCUCGUAGUCGGAUUUCGGGGCGGGCCGACCGGUCUGCCGAUGGGUAUGCACUGGCCGGCGUGUCCUUCCACCCGGAGACCGCGCCUACUCUUAACUGAGCGGGCGCGGGAGACGGGUCUUUUACUUUGAAAAAAUCAGAGUGUUUCAAGCAGGCAGUCGCUCUUGCAUGGAUUAGCAUGGGAUAAUGAAAUAGGACUCUGGUGCUAUUUUGUUGGUUUCGAACACCGGAGUAAUGAUUAACAGGGACAGUCAGGGGCACUCGUAUUCCGCCGAGAGAGGUGAAAUUCUCAGACCAGCGGAAGACGAACCACUGCGAAAGCAUUUGCCAGGGAUGUUUUCAUCA
rnacentral:rRNA from 1 species